rfam:Gossypium raimondii Chr12_contig_821, whole genome shotgun sequence.
UGUUAAAGAUUUCAUCUAUUUCUAUUAAAAUUGGUGUGACUGACAUGAUAACCAAACAGUUAUAUAUGACGUGCCACGUGUAUCUCAUUUUGACAUAAAAGGACCAGUUUUUAAUAGUAAAAAUGGAUGAAAUUUUUAACG